rnacentral:misc_RNA from 1 species
AAACCAUCAAGCCCAGCUUGGUCUUGGACGCGGUCAAGUGACCCGUCCGUAACCCGUUGGCGGUGCAGUCCGGCUUCAAGCGUAGCAAGAAUUUCGCUUCAGGAGUCCGCGGCGGCGCCCGCCAGGUAACCGCAUCCCAAA